ACCCGCACAAGCGGUGGAUUAUGUGGAUUAAUUCGAUGCAACGCGAAAAACCUUACCUACCCUUGACAUGUCAGAAACAUUCAGAAAUGAGAGUGUGCUCGAAAGAGAAUCUGAACACAGGUGCUGCAUGGCUGUCGUCAGCUCGUGUCGUGAGAUGUUGGGUUAAGUCCCGCAACGAGCGCAACCCUUGUUAUUAAUUGCCAUCAUUAAGUUGGGCACUUUAAUGAGACUGCCGGUGACAAACCGGAGGAAGGUGGGAUGACGUCAAGUCCUCAUGGCCCUUAUGGGUAGGGCUUCACACGUAAUACAAUGGCGCGUACAGAGAGUUGCCAACUCGCGAGAGGGAGCUAAUCUCAGAAAGCGCGUCGUAGUCCGGAUCGGAGUCUGCAACUCGACUCCGUGAAGUCGGAAUCGCUAGUAAUCGCGGAUUCAGCAUGUUCGCGGUGAAUACGUUCCCGG
rnacentral:rRNA from 1 species